rnacentral:sRNA from 1 species
UAUUGCGUUUUGCGUAUUCAAAAAAUAA